CUCUCACUAUACAUGGUGAAAGGCUGUGAUACAGGUAAUGGUGAACUACCUGUAUAGCAGCUAAUGACACGGCUCUCUCUCACUAUACAUGGUGAAAGGCUGUGAUACAGGUAAUGGUGAACUACCUGUAUAGCAGCUAAUGACACGGCUCUCUCUCACUAUACAUGGUGAAAGGCUGCGAUACAGGUAAUGGUGAACUACCUGUAUAGCGGCUUAUGACGCAGCUCUAUCUCACUAUACAUGGUGAAAGGCUGGGAUACAGGUAAUGGUGAACUACCUGUAUAGCGGCUUAUGACGCAGCUCUAUCUCACUAUACAUGGUGAAAGGCUGGGAUACAGGUAAUGGUGCACUACCUGUAUAGCGGCUAAUAGUUAAUUCAGCCUUUUCAGGUUACAGCUGUUAAUACCAUAGAUUUUGGAAGCACUGCC